rnacentral:rRNA from 1 species
UCAAGUUAUUAUGAGUUUAUGGGGGAUGCCUUGGCGUCAAAAGCCGAAGAAGGGCGUAGCAAGUCUGCGAUAAGCCUCGGUUUGCUGACUAGCAAGCUUAGCCGGGGAUACCCGAAUGGGAAAACCUGAUCAUAUGAUCAACCUUUUUUAUAAAGGUAGGUAAGCAGGAGAACUGAAACAUCUAAGUAUCCUGAGGAAAAUAAAUCAAACGAGAUUCCCUAAGUAGCGGCGAGCGAAAUGGGAUCAGCCUAAACCGUGUGGGAUUUAUCCUGUGCGGGGUUGUAGGGCACUUUUUAUAAAAGUUACAAAAUGACAUUUUAGUAGAAUAGAUUGGAAAAUCUAACCAUAGAGGGUGAAAGUCCCGUAAACGAAAAAAUGUCAACUUUUUAAGUGUUCCUGAGUACGACGGGACACGUGAAAUCUUGUCGGAAUCUGGGGGGACCACCCUCCAAGGCUAAAUACUUUUGACGACCGAUAGUGAACUAGUACCGUGAGGGAAAGGUGAAAAGAACCCCGAGAGGGGAGUGAAAUAGAACUGAAACCAUAAACCUACAAACCGUGGGAGCUUGUAUUUAUACGAGUGACCGCGUGCCUAUUGAAGAAUGAGCCAACGAGUUACUUGGUACGGCAAGAUUAAGAAGUUAAGCUUUGAAGUCGAAGCGAAAGCAAGUCUGAAUAGGGCGAAUUAGUCGUGUCAAGUAGACCCGAAACCGUGUGAGCUACCUAUGGCCAGGUUGAAGCGAGAGUAAAAUCUCGUGAAGGACCGAACCCGUGUACGCUGCAAAGUGCUGGGAUGAGCUGUGGGUAGAGGUAAAAUGCCAAACGAACACGGAGAUAGCUGGUUCUCUCCGAAAUGUAUUUAGGUACAGCGUUAUGUAAUACUUCAUGGAGGUAGAGCACUGGAUAGACUAGGGGGCGCAAGCUUACCAAACCUAACCAAACUCCGAAUACCAUGAAGGGUAUCAUAGCAGUGAGACUGUGGGGGAUAAGCUCCAUUGUCGAAAGGGAAACAGCCCAGAUCGCAAGUUAAGGUCCCAAAGUAUAUGCUAAGUGUUAAACGAAGUAGGGUCGCCCAGACAGCCAGGAGGUUGGCUUAGAAGCAGCCAUCCUUUAAAGAGUGCGUAAUAGCCCACUGGUCAAGGGGCCCCGCACGGAAAAUAAACGGGGCUAAGCAUAUCACCGAGACUGCGGGAUCUAUUUUAUAGAUCGGUAGGAGAGUGUCGUUAAAGCGCUGAAGCUAAGCUGUAAGGCUUGGUGGAGUUUUAACAAGUAAGAAUGUUGGCAUGAGUAGCAAAAAUGCCGGUGAGAACCCGGCAGGCCGAAAGUCUAAGGAUUCCUACGCAACGUUGAUCGGCGUAGGGUUAGUCGGUCCUAAGGCGUAUCCGAAAGGAGAAGUCGAUGGAUAGCUGGUAAAUAUUCCAGCACCUUUAAAUAAUUGUUUGACUCAAAGAGGUGACGCGAACAGAUAAGCAGAGCAUACGUAUCGGACAUCGUGUGUUUUUGACCGUAGGAGAGUAGAGAAGGUUAAAAUAUUUUCUAUGUUUGAUCUGAGGAGAAAGAAAACUAUGAGGUUAGCCUCGUGGGAUUCUGCCGAUUCUAAGUCGCCUAGAAAAACCUCGUUGAUUAGAUUUUUUGAAGACCGUACCGCAAACCAACACAGGUAGACAGGGAUAAAAGUCCCAAGGCCUUCGAGAGAACCAUCGUUAAGGAACUCGGCAAAUUGACCCCGUAACUUAGGGAGAAGGGGGACCUUAAGUGUAUAUGAGCUAGCCUCAAAAAGCAUGUAAGGUAGCAUAAAAUAGGCUGAAGCGACUGUUUACCAAAAACACAGGUCCAUGCCAAAGCGAAAGCUGAUGUAUAUGGGCUGACGCCUGCCCAGUGCCGGUAGGUUAAGGAAAGGAGUGCAAGCUCUUGACUGAAGCCCCGGUGAACGGCGGCCGUAACUAUAACGGUCCUAAGGUAGCGAAGUCCCUUGUCGGGUAAGUUCCGA